UUGCAACAUGUUUAUCAUUGGCCUGGCUAAAAUCAGCUGAACCUGAAAAUGUCAUUAGACUUCGCUUCUUCAGAGAUGCUGCAGAAAACGCCCAAGGAACAAAAAAUGCCCUUGACAUUUUUAAUAGAUAUAAUUGUAAGUUAAUCCCAAAGUGGGGCCCUGAUAUACAGGUGACACCAGGUCUUGGUAGCUUUGAAGUGAGAUGGAUCAGACUGGGAAUUCAGUGGCGUGAAAACCGUAUGACCUGCUGUUUAGUUAUAAUAAAAACUGUUGCUUCAAUACACCAAUCACCUGCAGUCUGUUGCAGAAUUUUUUUUUAGCCUGAUAACCCCCGCACAUUGAUUAACAAAACUGCUGUGUUGACAGAAUACAUUACUACUGUGUUGCUGCUACACAGACUCCCAAUGGUUUUCAAAAUUGCUCUUAAAUAUGAGUAUUUUACUGCAUUCCCCUCAAAUUGUAGGAAAGCACAUCGGCUGACUACUUGUUUCUGUACAGCCAAACAAGUGAUACCAAUGUGAAAUGGGAGCUUGAGCCAUGUUGGUGGGAAAAAAAAGUCGUCCAUCUUGACUAACAUGAGGAUGUUUGUAUUGAAACCCAGCUUUAUGAAACCCAAUGAAGCGCAAUAUCUAACUUACGUCGGGAAAAACAUCCAUCACCCAGCGACCCAUUGGUUGUUCCUAACUGCACAGGAGCUGUAGAGAAAAUUAUUUUACAGUGGGCAAGUCAAAAACUUGAUGCAAAGCUGAUACCAGUACUUGGCAGUCAGUCUUUCACAAAUUGGAUAAUUAUCUUAGAAUGGUCCAGGCAAAGUUGCAAAAUUGAGUGCGGCAGCGCUACCUUCUAUAGCUGUCAUUUUAAUAAGGUCACGCCAAUGCUGUACAGCAAAAAUUCUUGGGCAAUAUCACCGUCCCAACAUAGCUUGUGAUCAAGUCCCCAAAUACAGCAGGGGAACUGGCACACUGCAGUUUAGAGAUCAGAUCCUGAAGUGGCUGGGUUAUGGCUCUGCCUUGCAUUGCUCUUCUUUGUCAUUUCCAAUCAUCAUGAUCCUCUACAUCAUGCAUUUCAAGUGAAGCAGUAAUGGAAGUGGAUAACAACUCUUCUCCAUCACGUAGAACAUUGAGCAAAACCAUGGCAGCUCAAAAAGCUACUAAUCCCAAUUCUCAAAUAGAGAUGUGUGUCAUUUUUCAAACCACAGUCUGCAAAGAUAACUUCUGAUGGCUCAAUAAAAUUACUACUGCAGGACUGGACACAUUGCAUUUCCAUUUCUUUAAGUGCUUGCUACCGCAUAAGUGCAGGUCAAGUGUUUCUGUCAUGUAUAUGCUGCUUGUUCACUUUAUAACUGAAGAUGUUAUGAUGACAUAUCUCCCUCUCAGCCUGGUUUUCCUGCCACCUCAAACAUCUAUCAACUAUCUUAUCCAGGAACAACUGGAUUCAUAAAGUAUGGUUAAUCCCUGUAUGCAGAUUGUUCCCUUCACAUACGUUCAUCCAUU